AGAGGAGAGAGGACUUACCAGAAACCAGGCCUACUGGCACCUUGAUCCUGGACUUCUAGCCUCCAGAACUACCACUCAGUUUGGGAGAAGCCAGCGCCAUGUUGAGCUGUCCUAUGGAGAGGCCAUGGAGUGAGGACCAUAGGCCACAAGUCAACAGCUGUGUCAGUGAGCCAUCUCAGAAGGGGGCCCUCCAGCCCAGUCCAGCUUUUUGAUGACUGCAGCCUUGGCACACAUCUCGACUGCAAUUUCAUUUGAGACACUGAGCCAGAAACAUCCAACUAAGCUGCCCUCAAAUUCCUGACUCACAGAUUUUCUGAGACAACAUGUUUAUUUUAAGCCACUAAAUUGGGAAUAAUUUGUUACUCCAAUAGUGUGUUGAAAAGUUGUAUGAGGCCACGUCUUGUGCCAGUGAGAAGCUAAUUGUGAUGAUGGGAGGGCAUCAGGCAG